rnacentral:rRNA from 1 species
UACGUAGGGGGCAAGCGUUGUCCGGAAUCAUUGGGCGUAAAGAGCGUGUAGGCGGCUCGGUAAGUCCGCUGUGAAAGUCCAGGGCUCAACCCUGGAAUGCCGGUGGAAACUGUCGAGCUCGAGUCCGGAAGAGGCGAGUGGAAUUCCUGGUGUAGCGGUGAAAUGCGCAGAUAUCAGGAGGAACACCAAUGGCGAAGGCAGCUCGCUGGGACGGUACUGACGCUGAGACGCGAAAGCCAGGGGAGCGAACGGG